CCGGUCCCUCCGAGCUAGAAUUGUCCAGAGCUUCUUGCAGCCUCGCCCCCAACACAGGUGGAAGGUGUCCCCUUGGGACGUCAAUGCUUACUAUUCGGUAUCUGACCAUGUGGUAGUCUUUCCAGCUGGACUCCUCCAACCCCCAUUCUUCCACCCUGGCUAUCCCAGAACCUCCUUCAAUGACUCCCUCACAUUCUUGGAGAACGCUGCAGACGUUGGGGGGCUAGCCAUCGCGCUGCAGGCAUACAGCAAGAGGCUGUUACGGCACCAUGGGGAGACUGUCCUGCCCAGCCUGGACCUCAGCCCCCAGCAGAUCUUCUUUCGAAGCUAUGCCCAGGUAGGCAGCGGCCACCUCCCGCCACAGCUUGCUUUAUGUCAGUUGAACGCCUUAUUACUGAAGCUCAUGGAAGUCCCCUCUUCAGACACUCCAUCAAAUACCCCAAACCCUCUUCUGCAGAUGUCCUCACUGUUAUCUUUUCUCUUCCCUCCCUACCCCUUGGAAUCACCCCUCAGAUGACUACAGGUUCUUCUACCUAAUUCAGCACCCCCACAACUCAAAAGGUAGAAAAAACUCUAUUCCCAAGUUCCUCCAGGAGAGGAGGAGACCAACUUUUUUUUCCUCUCAUACCCCCAAAAUACAGAUGCCUUAAAAAUGAGCCUGUGGUUGGGCGCAGUGGCUCACACCUGUAAUCCUGGCACUUUGGG
rnacentral:sRNA from 1 species